UUGAACGCUGGCGGCAUGCUUUACACAUGCAAGUCGAACGGUAACAGGCCUUCGGGUGCUGACGAGUGGCGAACGGGUGAGUAAUGCAUCGGAACGUACCCAGAGGUGGGGGAUAACGCAGCGAAAGCUGUGCUAAUACCGCAUGUGAUCUGAGGAUGAAAGCGGGGGACCGAGCAGCAAUGUUUGGCCUCGCGCCUUUGGAGCGGCCGAUGUCGGAUUAGCUAGUUGGUGGGGUAAAGGCCUACCAAGGCGACGAUCCGUAGCUGGUCUGAGAGGACGACCAGCCACACUGGGACUGAGGCACGGCCCAGACUCCUACGGGAGGCAGCAGUGGGGAAUUUUGGACAAUGGGCGCAAGCCUGAUCCAGCAAUGCCGCGUGCGGGAAGAAGGCCUUCGGGUUGUAAACCGCUUUUGGCAGGAACGAAACGGUGUCCGCUAAUACCGGGCGCUAAUGACGGUACCUGCAGAAUAAGCACCGGCUAACUACGUG
rnacentral:rRNA from 1 species